GUCCACGCCUUAAACGAUGAAUACUCGAUGUCAGCCCGCAAGGGUUGGUGUCCAAGCUAACGCAUUAAGUAUUCCACCUGGGAAGUACGAUCGCAAGGUUGAAACUCAAAGGAAUUGACGGGGGCCCCGCACAAGCAGUGGAGCAUGUGGUUUAAUUCGAUGCAACGCGAAGAACCUUACCUAGGUUUGAAAAGCUCUGUAAACCGAUGAAAGUCGGGUAGUGUAGCAAUACACGCGGAGUACAGGUGCUGCAUGGCUGUCGU
rnacentral:rRNA from 1 species